GUCUCCUUAGUUUAACGGAUAGAACAAGCCCCUCCUAAGGGCUAGGUGCUGGUUCGAUUCCAGCAGGGGACGC
rnacentral:tRNA from 1 species